AAUUUGGAUCAGAUCCCAACAAAACUCGGUGUAAUAUCACUGCUUCAUAUUCCAGAAGGCGCGACCACAAGAGGAAGAAAAGUGGAUGUCACUCAAAUCGAUAAAAUGCCGUCUGACAUCGAGAGCAAAUGGACAAAGCCCUGCUGAUAAAAACCUCCUUGGUGGAGGCAUCCUCGCUCUCCCCUCCGCGUCCUCCUCGUCGGCCUCCUCUCCUCCCCUGGCGUAGGGGAGUCUCCGAUACACGUAGCUGUCCCCCAUCUGCCGCUCGACUUCUAAUCUCAAGAUACAGGCAUCCACCUAAAGACAAAUUUGCGUCCCCCCUCUCUCGCCGCGCCCUCUCAUCAAAAUGCUGGCCGUUGCUGAGUCACGACGUCCCACUGCCACCUCCAUUGCUUCCCCCUUGGCCGCCUCGCUAAAUAAUUCAGGAGAGCUAUUGAGGAGGAUGAGGAGGAGGAGGCAAAUGAGGAUGCAAACGGAUGGAUGGAGAGAAGGACACUUCCCAGGAUGCACUUAAGAGACGCGGCGAGCGACAAGCAGCAAGUGCAGCACAUCCAGAACACCACCCCCUCCUCACCCCCACAGUUACCAUGGCGACCACGGCUGGAGGCUCCCUCGUGCAUGAACGCAUCUGCACCCUCAAAUGAGUAAUCCGUGGUCGGAAAGGGCAUCAACCGACCAGUGUGGAUGGGCUUCAAGACCACUCGACGCGGUCGUUUAUCUUUCCCAGCGGCAUCUUUCAAGCAGGACGCGGUGGUUUAUCAGCAAAUGAGAGGAAA